UGAUGUGGAGCAUGUGGCAUGAGAGAAAAUGGUUGCCAUGGGAUAAUGGGUCUACAAGAGCAGAAAAGGAUACCUCACCAACCCUUAACCCCACAUCAGCCGCCCCAUCAAUGUCGGCGGCGGGGUGGGGGUGGGGAGGUACCUGCAUCAGCCACCACUGUGCAGGCCCACAGAGAUAAGCUCUUUGUUCAGAACAGAUGGAGGGUGAGCAUUCAAUCCUGGCAUCCAAUGAAACAUAGACAUGUUAAUCAGAAGCGUUCGACGUAAGAGCAACUGAGGCAGUGCAGACAAGAACUGAGCAGGAAAAGCGAACAGUCUCUUGUGUGCUGUGGAAUUCUGAGGAAACAGUUACUGAAACCUUUUGUGGGUGCCACUGGAGAUACCGGUAGGCCCAGCUGUGCUUAUAAACCUAGAUAAUAAAUAAUGCUUAAAUGAAGAGACUUUUUUUUUUAAAAAAAGCUGGCAGGGAGCCUUUUUUGAAUAAUUUACAGUGUACAGCAGGAGGCAACGGAGCAAAAAACAAACAAAUCCUUUAACUGUUAGUUUGGCUUGCACCCUGGAGGCUUGUGUCAACAAUUAGAGCUGGGCACCAAAAUAGUAAAAAUAUGUCUGGGCUGUUCUGUUUGUGCUGGGGGCUCACACAAUUGUAUGCUCCUCCAUACAAAAAGGUAUUUCAACACCAACAAGUUAUGUACAUUUCUGUUCACUGCUUCUUACAAAGGUUGUUACAGAGCUGGGAAAGAAGCAUAAAAGGCAUCUCUGGGUGGCAUAUAAUCAAUCAGUAUGUGUAAAUUAAGAUGGAUGUAUUGGUGUUUAUUGUACUUAUGGUCCCUUGCUAAGGACCACUCCGCCUCUACCAGUCCAAAAUCAGAAAGUAUAUCAAAUUGCAUUGCCUAUAUGCCUACCAUAGUUUGGUCUGAGAUUGAAAUGAACCCAAAUAAUUCAGCAUGUACAUACGCAUUCCCAUCACUGUCAACCACAGAUCUCAUACCAAGAGACAGUCCUAUGCUAGGAAUGCAUGCUGCUUCAUCUGCUAAAACUGAGAGUCUCCCUCAAAAUUUGGCCACACAAAUUUAUUAACUCAUUCUGUGCCUUCUUGCAGAUGUGUGCUUAGUAUUUCCUGCCUGUUUUCAAAUGUUUUUUGAGUAUUCUAUCCUGUUCCUCAACAAGAACUCAAAAGGUCUAUCCUGUUACCUGUUGUACUGGUUUUCCAAGAAAGAGCAAAGGCAAGUCAUCCACAAUACACAAUGGUUGAUAUUAUCUAGAAUACAGCUUCUGUUUAUUUCCCUCAAUAGCUCUUGCAUUUGAUUUAUUAAGCCAAAUGACACCUUUUUCCUGUUCAUGAUAGAAAGGAAGAUAAAAGCAUCUUCAUGUGAAACCUUAUGCCAUCUACUUUGUGAGUGCUCUUUGUACUUGGUACAGACUUUGGUAUUAAAUGUGUCCUGUACCCCUUGUGGGGAAAUAAAAUGCAAUAGCAGCAUACAGGUGCUUUCAAAACAACAGCAAAGGCUAACCAAGGGGAACAUUCAGAAAGCAAUGCAUGGCAAAAUGCUCUUGGACCUCUCCUAUCAUGCCUAAAGUCAUAGCCACCUAAAGGGGUCCAGCACUGUGUGUGCAGCUCAGUUUUUAACAAUUCUAAUAGGGGAUUUGCUUUCAAUAUGUAUUUCCUUCCAUCCAGCUUUUCCUGCUGUUCAGGUUGCACUGUACUGGCUUCCACCUUAGUAUUUUCAGUUGGGAUGUUCUCUGUCCCUGGAUAUUUUCUGGUAGGAAUUUUUCCACUUGGCAAAUUGGCAUGGGCCAUUUGGUUUUCGCCUACCUUGUAGCAAUAGUCACAGCUUUGUCAGGUUUGGUGGUUAGGCAUUGGUUGAUCUUCUGAUGGGGGAGGGGAGGCGUGGCCAUCACCUGCCCCUCCAAGCUUAAGGGUAUUCUGUUAAAGGAAUCCCGGGGUGUGGAUCUUGUCCGAAGUCUGGGGCUGGGCUAGGGCCAUGCCAUGGGAACCCAGGGGGAGCUUGAGUGGGUUUGCUUUGAUGGGGCUCCCCCUACCAGUCGUUGACCCUUAC